AUGGUCGAGCUGAACGAUUCUUGCAUAGCCCACCUUAAGUUCAUUCUCCUCUGUUUUGAGUCCUUGUAGGGGCUGAAAAUUAACUUCUCAAAGAGCGAGGUCAUUGUUACCGGCAUGGAUGACAAUGAGGCUGUGAGGGUGGCGCGCAUUCUCAACUGUAAGCCCGGAUCCUUUCCCUUCAAAUACCUGGGCCUCCCUAUCUCGCCAGAUAUGCUUCAUUCGAAAGACUUUGCUCCGGCUGUCACUAAGGUUGGCAAUAGGGUGCUCCCCUGGCGUGGUAGGUACAACACCAAUGCUGGGAAAGUGGCUCUGAUUAAUGACUGCUUGUCUUCCCUUCCUAUGUUCCUAAUGGGCUUCUAUCUUCUUUCGGCUGGUACCCAUGCUGGCUUCAAUAAGCAUAGAGGCGCGUUCUAUUGGAAUGCGGCAGAUAACAGGCGAAAAUAUAGGCUUGUUAAGUGGCAACUCAUGUGCAGGCCAAAAAACCUUGGGGGGCUGGGAAUCAUUAACACUUCCGUCAUGAACAAAUGCCUUUUGAUUAAAUGGUGGUGGAAGAUCAUGUCUAGUGGGGUUGGCUCCUUAUGCUAUAGGGCCAAUUCCAUUUCCCCCUAA
rnacentral:rRNA from 1 species